rnacentral:rRNA from 1 species
GAACAUUGAGCCUUGAUGUGUAGGAUAGGUGGGAGGCUUUGAAGUGUGGACGCCAGUCUGCAUGGAGCCGACCUUGAAAUACCACCCUUUAAUGUUUGAUGUUCUAACGUGGACCCGUUACCCGGGUUGCGGACAGUGUCUGGUGGGUAGUUUGACUGGGGCGGUCUCCUCCUAAAGAGUAACGGAGGAGCACGAAGGUUGGCUAAUCCUGGUCGGACAUCAGGAGGUUAGUGCAAUGGCAUAAGCCAGCUUGACUGCGAGCGUGACGGCGCGAGCAGGUGCGAAAGCAGGUCAUAGUGAUCCGGUGGUUCUGAAUGGAAGGGCCAUCGCUCAACGGAUAAAAGGUACUCCGGGGAUAACAGGCUGAUACCGCCCAAGAGUUCAUAUCGACGGCGGUGUUUGGCACCUCGAUGUCGGCUCAUCACAUCCUGGGGCUGAAGUAGGUCCCAAGGGUAUGGCUGUUCGCCAUUUAAAGUGGUACGCGAGCUGGGUUUAGAACGUCGUGAGACAGUUCGGUCCCUAUCUGCCGUGGGCGCUGGAGAACUGAGGGGGGCUGCUCCUAGUACGAGAGGACCGGAGUGGACGCAUCACUGGUGUUCGGGUUGUCAUGCCAAUGGCACUGCCCGGUAGCUAAAUGCGGAAGAGAUAAGUGCUGAAAGCAUCUAAGCACGAAACUUGCCCCGA